AAGAUAAAGUGUUUGUCUAUUUAUAAAAGCUACAAUAUCGCAUCACUUUAUGAUUUCUUUAGACCAUUCUUAUCUUAAUAGAACACUAGAUAAAUUAACUCACUCGAUUUGGAUGAAUAAAGGUUCAUGUGUCAUAUGAUUAAAUAACGAAUUUGUACUAUACAGAUCCGCCCACAAGAGACUGAAGAGAGACGAUCGAUCAAAGACGUGAGGACAAUAGAUCGGUCAUCUGGACGAAAGUGGCAGUCGGCCUGGUAGGCACAUUGAAGAACAUUAAUGGAUAAUUAAUGUCAACAACCCAUUGGAGUGGAUCGUGUUAUUGGAGAGGAUUGAAGAUCAAAAGAGAGCAGAGCAAGGAAGGACGACCGACCAUCAGACCAAUUCAACCGAAACAUUUGGCGCCCACCGUGGGGUCGAGCGGCAUCCCCAUGAAGCCACGAAGAACCAAACGCGCGCUCGGUCUCGACAUCGCUACUUCGGAUCAACACCAGGUUAUGCAACAAGAGUAAAAAAUUCCGUAAUAAUUUCUAAAGGCAUGUCUUUUGUUUUGAGAACUUUCAAGAAGGUUCAGUCCUACGUACUUUCAACCUUGGCAGGUUCCGCUUUUCAUUAUAAUUUAUAAAUUAUAAUAUAUUUGUUUAACUCAUACUUUUGUGAGUAAAAAUAUCAUGCACAGGAAGGUUCAGUCCUACGUUCAACCUUGACAAAUUCCACUUUUCAUUAUAAUUUAUAAAUUAUAAUAUAUUUGUUUAACUCAUAUUUUUGCGAGUAAAAAUAUCUCGCACAGGAAGGUUCACUCCUACGUUCAACCUUAUCAGGUUCUAAUGUUAUCUCAUUAUAAAAUAAAAUGUUGAAUAUUUUAUUUAAGGCUUAUUUUUGUGAGUAAAAAUAUCUUGCACAAGAAGGUUCACACCAACGUUCAAUCUUAUCAGGUUCCAAUGCCAUCUCGUUAUAAGAAUAAAAUAUUGAAUAUUUUGCUUUAACACAUGCUUUUUGUGAGUAAAAAUAUUUUGCACAGGAAGAUUCAAUCCUCUACAACAUGUUCACCGUUCGGGCUGAAGUCCGAAAAAGGGCUUCAGAAAUCCCUGUUCAACGCAGGAAGUUAGAAAAAUAACUCCUGCCUCAAGCCGCUCGGGGGAAGUCCAAAAAAGGGCUUCAGAAAUCCCCGCUCAACGCAGGAAGUUAAAAAAAUAACUUCUGCCUCAAGCCACUCGGGGGGAAGUCUGAAAAAGGGCUUCAGAAAUCCCUGCUCAACGCAGGAAGUUAGAAAAAUAACUCCUGCCUCAAGCCGCUCGGGGGAAGUCCGAAAAGGGGCUUCAGAAAUCCCCGCUUAACGUAGGAAGUUAGAAAAAUAACUUCUGCCUCAAGCCGCUCGGGGGGAAGUCUGAAAAAGGGCUUCAGAAAUCCCCGCUCAACGCAGGAAGUUAGAAAAAUAACUCCUGCCUCAAGCCGCUCGGGGGAAGUCCGAAAAAGGGCUUCAGAAAUUCCCGCUCAACGCAGAAAGUUAGAAAAAUAACUCCUGCCUCAAGCCGCUCAGGGGGAAGUCCGAAAAAGGGCUUCAGAAAUCCCCACUCAACGUAGGAAGUUAGAAAAAUAACUCAUGCCUCAAGCCGCUUGGGGGAGUCCGAAAAAGGACUUCAGAAAUCCCCGCUCAACGCAGGAAGUUCGAAAAAGAACUAUCAGUCGACUACUCAACAGGUUCAACUUUGUCAGGUUCCAAUCUCUUUUCAUUAUAAAAUAUUGAAGUGUUUACUUUAUUUUAUUUAAACGCAUAUUUUUUGGAGUGAAAAUCUCUUGCACAGGAAAAAGUUUCAAAGAAAACUCUUAGCAUUUUUUAUUCAUUCUAGGGAACAGUUCCAAAGAGAACUCCUAGAGUUCGCCGCUCGGAACAGGGAGCAAUGAAGACUUAAAACACAUCGAAGAUAGACUCUCUAAAUACAACAUGAACUACCUCUUUUAAAGCUCAUAAUAAUCCCUACGCACCUCUUUCAACAAAGAGCUCGCUUGGGCUUGGGGGGCUUAUGUACUAUACAGGAUCCGCCGACAAGAGACUGAAGAGAGACGAUCGAUCAAAGACAUGAGGACAGUAGAUCGGCCAUCUGGGUAAUUAAUGUGAGUAAUUAUCGUAUCAUAUGCAUAUAUAUUACAUUUAUGAAUGAUUGGCAGGGUAUAUUUAUACUGCAUUAAUGGACAUUCAAUGGGCUGGACAAUUGCAAAGCCUAUAAAUGCAAGGUGAAUGAUCAGAUAUUAUGACCGACCUACAUAACAAGACACAAAUGGUUGGUGGUGUUGGCUGCUGCAUGUUGUGUUGUGUUGCCUACUUCAACUUGCGAUCUGCUCCAGCUGUGGUUGACUGCAACAUCUCUCUGCCCCAAAUCAAUGGCCUUCCAACUCAUCAAAAUCUUACUUACCAUUUCUCAUUUUUGCUAUUUCACAACACUAUGAGUCUUUAUUUCCUUCUUUUUCCACACAAAAAUUGCUAGAAAACAUUCACCCUUUUAAGCAAUUUCUGUACCAAUCCGACCAUUUCCUAACAGAUAAUAGAUUUUUUGUUCUUUCUUUCGAUGUUUUUGCCAUACGAAAGCAUUGCACAAUUUACGAUGAGCCAUCACUUCUACUCGGACCCAUCAGAAAGAAUAACUCAAUGAUACAAAGUUGACUGGUUGAGUGGAAUUUACAACU